rnacentral:rRNA from 1 species
GUAGGUGGCAAGCGUUGUCCGGAAUUAUUGGGCGUAAAGCGCGCGCAGGUGGGUCGUUUAAGUCUGAUGUGAAAGACCCCCGGGCUCAACCCGGGGAGGGUCAUUGGAAACUGGGGAACUUGAGUGCAGGAGAGGAAAGUGGAAUUCCACGUGUAGCGGUGAAAUGCGUAGAUAUGUGGAGGAACACCAGUGGCGAAGGCGACUUUCUGGCCUGUAACUGACACUGAGGCGCGAAAGCGUGGGGAACAAACAGGAUUAGAUACCCUGGUAGUCCACGCCGUAAACGAUGAGUGCUAAGUGUUGGGGGGUUUCCGCCCCUCAGUGCUGCAGCUAACGCAUUAAGCACUCCGCCUGGGGAGUACGGUCGCAAAGACUG